rnacentral:ncRNA from 1 species
GGAGCGCGCCUUGUGCGCGUGACGGCGUGCCUUUUGCAUAAUGAGCCUACGAGUUGCCUUCGCCGGCGAGGAUAAGCGCGAGGACGCGCGCAUCCGCAGUGAGAGCGAGCCUGAAUAGGGCGUUGAGUCGGCGUGGGCAGACGCGAAACCAGGUGAUCUACACUUGGCCAGGGUGAAGUCCCGGUAACACGUGAUGGAGGCCCGAACCAAUAAGCGUUGAAAAGCUUCUGGAUGAGCCGAGUGUAGGAGUGAAAGGCCAAUCAAACCUGGAGAUAGCUCGUACUCCCCGAAAGGCAUUUAGGUGCCGCGUGGGGCGUUCGCCGCGAGAGGUAGAGCGACCGAUAGGUCGAGAGGGCUUCGCCGCCUAUCGAGACCUGACGAACUCCGAAUGCUCGCGGCCCAGAGCCCCGCAGUAAGGGGGCGGGUGCUAAGGUCCGUCCCCGAGAGGAGAAGAAUCCAGACCGCCGGCUAAGGCCCCGAAGUCCCGCCUGAGUUAGUCUAACGAAGUCCGGUCCCCAUGACAGCUAGGAUGUUGGCUUGGAAGCAGCCAUUCAUUCAAAGAGUGCGUAACAGCUCACUAGUCGAGGGUCUGGGCGUGGAUAAUAAUCGGGUAUAAGGCGGGCGCCGAAGCCGCGGGGUGCAUGCGCACCGGUAGGGGAGCAUUCCGCGCCGCGUCGAAUGCCGGGGGGCGACCCCGGCUGGAGCGCGCGGAAAGGCAAAUGUAGGCAUGAGUAACGACAAGGGGGGUGGGAUUCCCCCCCGCCGCAAGACCAAGGUUUCCCGGGCUAUGCCAAUCAGCCCGGGGUCAGUCGGGCCCUAAGCCUAAGCCGAGAGGCGACGGCGAUGGCAUGACGGUCAACAUUCCGUCACUGCCGCGUGGGGCGACGCGGGGAAGGAGAGGUGGCACGGCCGCGGGGCGACGGAAGUCCCCGUUGAAGGGCGUACCCGUUGAGAUGCCCAGGCAAGUCCGGGCGUCGAGGGGAACCUGACAGUACGCCCGGCCCUCCGGGGCCGGGCGAUAGCGCCGGUAAUCUUGCUCCCGAGAAAAUCCGCUAAGCUUCACCCGCGCGGCACCCGUACCUCAAACGGACACACGUGGUCGGGUAGAGCAUACUGAGGCGUUGAGAGACUCAUGGCCAAGGAACUAGGCAAACUGGCCCCGUAACUUAGGGAUAAGGGGUCCUCCCUUUCGGGAGGCGCAGAGAAUAGGUCCAGGCAACUGUUUAACAAAAACACAGGGCUGU